rnacentral:rRNA from 1 species
AAUGAACGCUGGCGGCGUGCCUAACACAUGCAAGUCGAACGAGAAACUCCGAGCUUGCUUGGAGGAGUAAAGUGGCGAACGGGUGAGUAACGCGUGGGUGACCUACCCUUGAAUCUGGGAUAACAUGGCGAAAGCCUUGCUAAUACCGGAUAUUGUCUUUGAAGUGUUGCUUCGAUGAUGAAAGGUGACCUCUCCUUGGAAGUUGCCGUUUCAGGGGAUGGGGCCCGCGUACCAUUAGCUAGUUGGUGGGGUAAUGGCCUACCAAGGCGACGAUGGUUAGCUGGUCUGAGAGGAUGAUCAGCCACACUGGAACUGAAACACGGUCCAGACUCCUACGGGAGGCAG